AUGAGAAAAAUUGCAGGGAUCUUUGUAUAUAUUACCUUGAAGAAACUGUGCCAGCUUAUCGAGGUUGCCGGCGGUGAGCUUGUGGAGAUCCUCGCCGGCCCAGACAGGGAAGACGAAGAUGGUGGUGCAGAGGCAGGUAAGGACGCCGAUGACGAUGGUGGAGAAGCGCUGGUGUGCCAGCUGAAUAAGCUCCUCCACGCGGUAGCUCGACACGGCCACCAGGCUGAAGGUGAGUAUGAAGAUGGUCACGCCGUAGUCGUACCUCGCCUUGAUCUCCGGGAUGAAGCGCGAGAACGUUGCCGCCGACGCUUCAAUAUAACCAAGUUACGUUAG
rnacentral:rRNA from 1 species